GGUUACAUCUCAAAGCCAGUAACCAAAGGUGUAUACAAUUCAACAUCCAAAACAGCACACACGUCGAUAUACAGUAAGAAUCAAGCCUCAAAUUACAAGUCAAAAUGUAUUUAAUAUUGACUUUUUUUAAAUGAAGCAGUUCCACUGGGUAUCACUGCUCACCUCAGCUGUUUUCAAACUCAACACAACUAAAACUGCAGCUUCUAAUCGUAU
rnacentral:misc_RNA from 1 species